rnacentral:rRNA from 1 species
AUUGAACGCUGGCGGCAGGCCUAACACAUGCAAGUCGAGCGGAUGAAGGGAGCUUGCUCCUGGAUUCAGCGGCGGACGGGUGAGUAAUGCCUAGGAAUCUGCCUGGUAGUGGGGGAUAACGUCCGGAAACGGGCGCUAAUACCGCAUACGUCCUGAGGGAGAAAGUGGGGGAUCUUCGGACCUCACGCUAUCAGAUGAGCCUAGGUCGGAUUAGCUAGUUGGUGAGGUAAAGGCCUACCAAGGCGACGAUCCGUAACUGGUCUGAGAGGAUGAUCAGUCACACUGGAACUGAGACACGGUCCAGACUCCUACGGGAGGCAGCAGUGGGGAAUAUUGGACAAUGGGCGAAAGCCUGAUCGAGCAAUGCCGCGUGUGUGAAGAAGGUCUUCGGAUUGUAAAGCACUUUAAGUUGGGAGGAAGGGCAGUAAGUUAAUACCUUGCUGUUUUGACGUUACCAACAGAAUAAGCACCGGCUAACUUCGUG